UUCAGCUGAUGCAACUCCCCGCGAACUGUACAGUGGAAGUAAUUCGUGCAGCGAUGGAGGCAGCGUGCAUAACGUGGCAAUUGGCCCAGGUCUGGACAGCUGUUCCAUCUCAGGAAAACCACCUGAUGUGUAAACACACUUUGACCUCUGCCGAACUCGCUGAUGGAAAACUAGAGCAGGACAGCUCUCUCGGGAUAGUAGUGGAAGGAACCCCAAACAUUCACAACAAGGAGUCCCAUGUCAGGGUAUCUUAUCUCUCCCAUGUCAACUAGCUACCUGUCAAGGACAGAACACUGCCUUACGGAGGAAUGAACUGGUGUCACAGAAGGCACUCCUCUGUAGCACCCAUGCUCAACAUGAUGAAGAGCAAAAAGUUACAAAAAGGAAGCAAUCACAAAAGGACAGUGUUUGGAAGGACAAAUUAAACAAUGCCUGUGACUGAUUACAGGUGAAAAAUAUAUUUCCCUCAUGACAUUUUAAACUUUAACACGAGGCUACAUUGUAGGCACAGAUCAGUGAGUCAGUCUCCCCUACUAUUUACUAAAUGUAGAAUUGGUUAGUUAUUGUCAGUACAAACUAGAUGGAUUACCAUGAGAUUAUAGUUGAUAUGUUAUAUCUAUGUAAUAAUUAUGAUGUAAGUCAAAUGUUGACGAUGCAGUGAAGUUCACUAGUUGCAAUUGUACAUGCUUCUGAUAUCUGCAUGCUGCAGUUAAGUAUAGACAGUUGGUGCAGUCCCAAGCCAUUGAAUAUAUCAGGAGUUGACUUAAAUAUCAAUAGUGUGACUAUUAAUAACUGAAGGCUGAUAAAACUGGCUACAGCGAGACGUAGCCUUUUUCCUGUAUGUGACACACCUGUGUGUGUAUUGUAACUGCUGUCGUUAAUGCAGGUCUGAGGGUGUUUUGGAUAAACUUUGGAUCUGUAUAAAGUAUUGCAAAUGUAUGUCUGUAUGAGAAACCACAAAAAAAGAUUAAGGGGAACAAAUGUGAUUUAUUGUGUAACUUAACUAAAACAUUAAAAAGAGGACUAACAUUAAGAGCACUGGUGGUGGGUCACACUUGGGGUUCCCACCUCAGAUUCACAGGGGCUGCUGUGGAGAGGGGGAGUCAACUCUCAAUUCUUCCGUCAAACACCA